UAAGAGGUCCCGCCUGCCCUGUGACUUAAGGUUUAACGGCCGCGGUAUUUUGACCGUGCAAAGGUAGCGCAAUCACUUGUCUUUUAAAUGAAGACCUGUAUGAAUGGCAUAACGAGGGCUUAACUGUCUCCCUCCUCCAGUCAAUGAAAUUGAUCUCCCCGUGCAGAAGCGGGGAUACCCUCAUAAGACGAGAAGACCCUGUGGAGCUUUAAACUUAUGGUAAGACCAUGUCAAGGACCCCUAACUAAUGGCCUGAACUAAUUGAUUCCUUACCACAUGUUUUUGGUUGGGGCGACCGCGGGGAAAUAAAAAACCCCCACGUGGAAUGAGAGCACCACUGCUCUUACAACCGAGAGCCACACCUCUAAGUAGCAGAAUUUCUGACCAAUAAGAUCCGGCACAGCCGAUCAACGGACCGAGUUACCCCAGGGAUAACAGCGCAAUCCUCUUCUAGAGCCCAUAUCGACAAGGGGGUUUACGACCUCGAUGUUGGAUCAGGACAUCCUAAUGGUGCAGCCGCUAUUAAGGGUUCGUUUGUUCAACGAUUAA
rnacentral:rRNA from 1 species